rnacentral:rRNA from 1 species
UACGAAGGGGGCUAGCGUUGCUCGGAAUGACUGGGCGUAAAGGGCGCGUAGGCGGAUGGUACAGUCAGAUGUGAAAUUCCCGGGCUUAACCUGGGGGCUGCAUUUGAUACGUGCGAUCUGGAGUGAGGAAGAGGGUCGUGGAAUUCCCAGUGUAGAGGUGAAAUUCGUAGAUAUUGGGAAGAACACCGGUGGCGAAGGCGGCUUCCUGGCCUGCAACUGACGCUGAGACGCGAAAGCGUGGGGAGCGAACCGG